GUUUUAAUAAUUUAUAUAAAAUAUUGGUCUUGUAAUCCAAAAAAAAAGUUAAACUUUUAAAACU
rnacentral:tRNA from 1 species